rnacentral:rRNA from 1 species
UACGGAGGAUGCGAGCGUUAUCCGGAUUUAUUGGGUUUAAAGGGUGCGUAGGCGGACGCUUAAGUCAGCGGUAAAAUUGCGGGGCUCAACCUCGUCGAGCCGUUGAAACUGGGUGCCUUGAGUGGGCGAGAAGUACGCGGAAUGCGUGUGUAGCGGUGAAAUGCAUAGAUAUCACGCAGAACUCCGAUUGCGAAGGCAGCGUACCGGCGCCCAACUGACGCUGAAGCACGAAGGCGUGGGUAUCGAACAGG